GGUAACAGAAUUUUAUAGAAUGUCUCGGAGAUUGCAAACGCCGUCUGGGAGAUGUCCGUCCUGAGGUGUCACUUGGGAACGCGGGCUCUUUCGCUCAUGGAGUCAGCCAUUUUGAAGGACUUGUGCAAUGAAAGCUUCAUAUGAGUCUAAAACACAUUCCUUGCGGGCGGAGAACUCAUAGCUCGCCCAGCGGAGCAGAGGUGGCUGCAGCAUGGUGACUGCCUCUCUGAGCCCCGGGGAGGCUUCCUGCUCGGUGGCACCCAGGUCUGUGUGGCGAGGGGCGAAGUGUGUGGCUGGACACGAGUGGGUGGUGGCAGGUGGAUGCCGGGUGGCUGGACCGCCUGGGUCUCUUCCCCCUCCCACCUCGCCAGGCAGCUCCCGCCCUCCGCCGAGCCCUCUAGAAGCUCCCAGGCUGUUGUCUGGGGAGAGCAAACCCGCAGGGCUGCUGCUUGGCGGACACCGGGCACAUGGCGGCUGAAGCUGGGUGGAGCUGAGAAGGAGGCAGUGAAAUGAGCGUCUCCGUCUCCGUCCUGGGCCGACAGGGCCCAGCUUCCUCUCUCUUCUCCGCCUGGAAGUCAGGUUUACACGGCCCCGGGCAGGGGAGCGCACCCUCUUUGGAGGGCAGCGAAUCCGUGGACACGGACAUUGGGGGAUCUCCCACUGAGAAAGCUGGCUUGCUGCCAGGUGUCCCUAUAGCACGUCGCCUCCAUGUGCCACGCAGAGCCUCAGUCAGCUGCAAGCAGCUUACGUGAGAUGUGCGUAGAGAAGCGUAGAAACGUGUAUGCAAAGCUUAACGAUCACACGUGCGUAUCCGUGUGGCCGCCACCCACUUUAACAUGGAGCGUUACCCUCCCGAGUGGCAGUCAUCUUUCUCUCUGUUUCCUGUCCCACCUCAGAGAACUGUUCUGGCUUUUACGUGAAUGAUUCUCUUUCUUUUCUUUAUGGUGUUGCCACAUGUAUUGUUUUAUUUGAAAAACUAAUGCGGAAGCAGACGCUGGCUAAAGAAGAGUAGUCUUGUCACUGUCAGAUGAAGGGACCCAGGAGACAGGAGGAAGAGCAGACUGUCUGUUGGCCCGCCUUCUCCUUCCGCGAGAGUUUGCAGGAGCCCCUUCUGCCCGUGGGCCGUCAGUGGGCCAGGGCCAUGCUGAUUCUGGGACGCGUAGGCUCACCCUAGUCAGAGCGGCCGGCGAGGCCUGCAGCCAGGACCACGUGCUUCCGUGCUGCGGAAAUUCGGCAGCGGGAGGGGGCUGCCGUGUUGGCUGCUGCUGAGCUCACUGCUUCCGGGAGCGGUCGGAGCAGAGGCCUUCUGUGGCAGGGAGUGGAUGUCCUCACCGAUAUAGGCAGAGUGAGGACGUCAUCAGUGCAUAAUCAAGACAAGCUCAGUGCAGACAAGUUGUCUAGGCCAAGGUCGCCUAGUGCUCCGUUCCUCAUUGAAAAACAGCACAGAGACGGCGAGAACCUUCCCCAUGGCCUGCAGCCCGCCCGUCUCUUGUUAGGUCUGUCUGGUGUGAGCAGGCGGUUUUCUGUACCCGCUGCAGAGUUGGCGUCUUGUUCUCCCGGGGCUCCCCUUUGCCUGUCUCCUCUGCAGGAUCUCCCAUUCCCUGUAUCUCCUGUCUCUUUUUUGCUUUACUCUUGUUUUCAUGGGAUACGUCUUCUACUGGCUUUUUGAGGAAGGAUGCAGUUUUUUGGCUGGGUGUAGACUUCUAGGUCGGGAGUCAGUGUCCGCAGUUUGAGGCCAUCAUGUCAUUGCCACCUUGCUUCCAGUGUUGCUGUUGAAAUCAAAGACAUCCUGAUUUCUGACCAUGUGUGUUUGCUGUCGUUUUUCGCCAUGGAGCCUGUAGAGUCUUCUCUCUGUUCUCAUCAUAUUCUGAAGUUUCCUAGUGACGAACCUUGGUAUAAAUCUGUUCUCACUGUUCAGUCUGGAAACUCUUAGUAUCUUUAAGUUCUAGGACGUUUUCUGUAGUCGCUUUCUGUAAUUACACUUGAUUUCCUGCCCUCCACGUCUCUCUUUUUUCCAGAGCUCCUAGUAUUCGGAUGGGACCUUGGAGUGGCCCUUUGCUCUUCUUCGCUCCCGUUUUUCUCUGUGCUCUUUUGUUCUGCUUCCUGAAGACGUCCUUACCUUUGGCUUUAGAUCGUUCUAUUAUAGUUCCAUUUCUACCACCACGUUUUUAUUACUGAAGAGUUCUUUAGUUCUCUGAGUGUUCCUUUUUUAUAAUAGCUCAUUUUUGUUUCGUGAAUGUGACCUCUCAUGGCUUCGAGAAUGUCGAUAGUUGGGUUUUUUUUAGGGGAUUUGAGUGGUUGAUUUGGAAGCUUCCUGGGUCAGUUUACAGGGCCUCACACCUUGACAGGGAGGGGUCAUCUGGCUUUUGAGGAAAGCUCUAACACAGAAGACAAGAGGCCGCUGUGAAGAGGAGAAAAAGGAGCCAGAAACAAUGGUCAUAUGGAGAGCAGAAGAAAAUGUCUAUGGUAGCUACAGGGAGGAGGCACUUAUGCAGGUAUGCAGAGGUCAGGAUGCCUCAGGAGGGAACAGUCAGGAGACUAAAGAAGGAAUUCUUGAAAAUGAAAAGCAAUACUCUAAUAACAUUUUAGUAAAAGAAUUGGAAGAUAAAACUGAGAAUGCCUCAGCAGAGUCAAAGGACAGAAAUAAAUAACAUGGGAAGAAGGAUGAAAAUUUUAAGAUAAUCAGUUCCGGAAGCCCAACAUCCAGUAACAGAGUUUUAAAAAGAGAGCAGAAAACUUUGGCGGAGGAAGAAAUUGUGAAAGAAACGAUAGAAGAAAAUUUCCAAUACAAGUACAAAUACUACAAGAAAAUUCAAUACUACGAGAAUCGAAGGCCAUGAGUGUCCAGAUUGAGGGGGAUUACUUAGUGUUCAGCUUAAUCAUUGAAAAAGAAUGGUGCCAAGUCUCAGUAUUGUGAAGUCUUAAAACACCAGAGAUUAACCUUUCAGAGAAAAAAAACGAAAAACAAGCAUCAGAAGCCAGAAUGGUGUUAACUUCUGAAACACCUUCAGAGUUGAGGAUUUUCAACGUAGAAUUCUGUCUCCAGCCAAAUUGCCUGUCAAGUUUGAGAGAUUUUUAGACGUGCAAGGACUCGUUUGUCGCCCAUGGGCCGUUUCUCAGCUAAGCACCGGAACAUGCGUUUCACCAAAACGAGAGUAAAGUCUAGGAAGACAGAGUCCAAGACUCAGGGUCAUGGUCCAGGGAAGUCUUGGGGUGACACUGUAUGACAGUGCCGAGAACAGCGGUGGGAGAGACAGGGGGCCUCUGCAGGAGGCUCUUUAGGGAGCGAGUGAAUAGUCCUGGAGAGCUGUCUGCAUUUCAUUAUGGAAAAGUUGUAUAUGGCGUUGUUUCAGGGCUGUGAGAACAAGUUUAAGAAGAAUUAGUAAUAGAUACACAGAAGACCAAGGAAAAGAAACAGAAAAAUUUGAACUCCAGGACAAACUAAGUCAAGCAAAAAAGGAAAUAUUAUCAUAGUAUAACUUUGGCUCAGUUGCGAAUAGUACUUAUGUAGUCAUGAUAUUUAAUCGUUGAAUAUCAGUUUUGAAAAAGAACAAAAGAGUGACGUAUUUAUUUUGAGAGCAUUAGGGAGGAGGGACAAGGAUAUAUGGGAGUGACCUAAGUCCUCACCUUCCAUAAUAGGAAGUUAAUAGACGAUGUCUAAAAUUCAUACGUCAGGAGAUCUAAAGCGUAAAGUAUAUUCUUGAGAAACAUGGAGAUAGGGUAACAAUUUAGUUCAGAAAAUUGGAAGCAGCAGCUAGAGUGGUUGAGGGGAGAGGCACGGGAGGUACCUUUUAAAACGAGGUUGACUUUUUAAACCGUCAUUUCAUUGACGCUAAGAUACCAUUGAACAUAGAAUAUAUUUACACUCUAUGUACAUCUGAGUAGACAAAUGCCAAAUAAACUAGCACAUAACUGAUUAGCCUGUACUUUCCAGUUUCAGACACAUUAAAAUAUGAAAAGUCCCUUUAGGUAUCAAGGAACUACUGUAAGUACGUAUAUUAUUUUGAUUAAAAUAAAACAUUUAAAUGUA